rnacentral:rRNA from 1 species
CUGGCUCAGAACGAACGCUGGCGGCAGGCUUAACACAUGCAAGUCGAACGCAUCCUUCGGGGUGAGUGGCAGACGGGUGAGUAACGUGUGGGAAUCUACCCUUUGCUACGGAAUAACGCAUGGAAACGUGUGCUAAUACCGUAUGUGCCCUUCGGGGGAAAGAUUUAUCGGCAAAGGAUGAGCCCGCGUUGGAUUAGCUAGUUGGUGGGGUAAAGGCCUACCAAGGCGACGAUCCAUAGCUGGUCUGAGAGGAUGAUCAGCCACAUUGGGACUGAGACACGGCCCAAACUCCUACGGGAGGCAGCAGUGGGGAAUAUUGGACAAUGGGCGCAAGCCUGAUCCAGCCAUGCCGCGUGAGUGAUGAAGGCCCUAGGGUUGUAAAGCUCUUUCACCGGUGAAGAUAAUGACGGUAACCGGAGAAGAAGCCCCGGCUAACUUCGUGCCAGCAGCCGCGGUAAUACGAAGGGGGCUAGCGUUGUUCGGAAUUACUGGGCGUAAAGCGCACGUAGGCGGGUAUUUAAGUCAGGGGUGAAAUCCCAGAGCUCAACUCUGGAACUGCCUUUGAUACUGGGUACCUAGAGUAUGGAAGAGGUAAGUGGAAUUCCGAGUGUAGAGGUGAAAUUCGUAGAUAUUCGGAGGAACACCAGUGGCGAAGGCGGCUUACUGGUCCAUUACUGACGCUGA